UACGUAGGGGGCAAGCGUUGUCCGGAAUCAUUGGGCGUAAAGCGCGUGUAGGCGGCCCGAUAAGUCCGCUGUGAAAGUCCAGGGCUCAACCCUGGGAUGCCGGUGGAUACUGUCGGGCUCGAGUCCGGAAGAGGCGAGUGGAAUUCCUGGUGUAGCGGUGAAAUGCGCAGAUAUCAGGAGGAACACCAAUGGCGAAAGCGACUUCCUGGACCAGUACCGACGUUCAGGCACGAAAGCGUGGGGAGCAAACAGG
rnacentral:rRNA from 1 species